AUUGAACGCUGGCGGAAUGCUUUACACAUGCAAGUCGAACGGUAGAGGGGGCAACCCCUCGAGAGUGGCGAACGGGUGAGUAAUAUAUCGGAAUGUGCCCAGUCGUGGGGGAUAACGUAGCGAAAGUUACGCUAAUACCGCAUACGAUCUACGGAUGAAAGCGGGGGAUCGCAAGACCUCGCGCGAUUGGAGCGGCCGAUAUCAGAUUAGGUAGUUGGUGGGGUAAAGGCUCACCAAGCCAACGAUCUGUAGCUGGUCUGAGAGGACGACCAGCCACACUGGAACUGAGACACGGUCCAGACUCCUACGGGAGGCAGCAGUGGGGAAUUUUGGACAAUGGACGCAAGUCUGAUCCAGCCAUUCCGCGUGCAGGAUGAAGGCCCUCGGGUUGUAAACUGCUUUUGUACGGAACGAAAAGGUUUCAAUUAAUACUGGGAGCUCAUGACGGUACCGUAAGAAUAAGCACCGGCUAACUACGUGCCAGCCGCCGCAGUAA
rnacentral:rRNA from 1 species